rnacentral:misc_RNA from 1 species
GAAUGAAGAACGUAGCGAAAUGCGAUAAGUAAUGUGAAUUGCAGAAUUCAGUGAAUCAUCGAAUCUUUGAACGCACCUUGCACCCUUUGGCAUUCUGAAGGGUAUGCUCGUUUGAGUGUCAUUGUACUCUCACACUCCCGAUCUUUGCAUUGGGAGCAGUGGACUUGGGUUUGCUGCUUCACCGUCGCUUACCUCAAAUAGGUUAGUGCAACUCUUGGUUGGACAUAGUACGGCGUGAUAAGUGUUCUUCGCCGGUGCCUCGCAAAGAGGGUGGCCGAUCGGGAUGUUGUGCUCCAAACCGUCUUCGGACAAUCUCUGACGACUUGACCUCAAAUCGAGUAAGACUACCCGCUGAACUUAAGCAUAUCAAUAAGCGGAGGA